CCUACUUUUUCCAGAUCUGAGAUCCAUUUCUUGUUUGGUCACCUUCUUCCCCACAAUCCCCACCUUUUCUUCCACUUCCCUUCAAUUUCUUGACCACCGGUGCUUUCUCUUUGUCUCCGACGAUUUUCCAACUGAGUCGGUUUGGUCCAGCUCCCGUCGCUGCCGCUGUCUCAUCUUGUCUCCAUCGAUGCACACCACCACAGGCACCAGCUCAAUUCCAAUUGCCACCUACCGCCGAGAGGCAGCAAACUAGCAGCCGCAAGCUGUAACGCCACCUACUGCCUCGCUCAGUGCAGCAGCAGAGGAGCAUGCUCGCUCGUCCUUUACGCGCUAGCCAGAAGCAGCAAUCGCCAGCACGCCACGCCUCCCGCACCUUGCCGCUCGCCAGCAUUGCCCAUGAGCGGGAGCCAGCGGGCCGGCCGCCCUUUUUCCUGCUCGCCCCCGCGCGCGCUUGCUCGCCAGCAUGCCACAUUGCCACCUACCAUGCCACUCACAGCAAACGCAGCGUCGGCCCGCCAGCCGCUUGCUCCCGCUCACCCCAGCCGCCUCAGGUCCGCCGCCAAAAUCUCGCUCUGCUCUCGCCACGUUCCUCCACGCGCCAAGAAGGCCGGCCGCCUGGGCCGCUCCUUUUUAUUUUCCCGCAGGUCAACCACAACAGUAGUGCGCCGGCAACACUCCGUCUAUCCAGUUUUUGGUCCAGUGUUUUGGCAGCCGCCACUUGUUCGGCGAAUUGCCUGCACGACUUUUCGCCUCUGUUCUUUUCGGCGACCAUGUCCGUUUGUCCGACAAUCUAUUCGGCAUGACCGAUACCACUUCACCAAUGACGCACCACCGACAAGGUCUACUUCCUGGCGUCCGACGCAUCAACUACUUCGGCAAUGACACGAAGAUGAUGGCAUGUACCCGAUGAACCGGCUUCGACUACUACAGCAACUUCUGCUACUUCAAACCCGGGAACUUCAAGACGGUGGCGAUGCUGCUACUUCCGCGACAUUGAUGACUUCGACUACUUCCUCGACAAUCCGCAUUUGCUUCUUCCCGGAUAGGAUCACGAAGUGGUGAUGUGAGAUAUGACAAGUUUCCAGACAGUUCUUUUGCAGUCUUUCACAAGACGUUUAGCGAAGCGGAUUGUUCAUACUCACCUAGCCGCCGACGCAAACCCUGAGUCCGCUUCGGAGUACGGCCGAACUUCAUUACAGGCAACUGUUGGCCCGACUUUUGAUAGGUAUAAGAUCGACGACGUUAGCAAGGUUACCCUUCCGGCUUGGCCUAGGCAGGGUUAUGGACGUCAUCGUUAUCUUUAGGACUCUUAGUCCAAUUUGUACUCUUGUCCGUACUCGAACUCUUUAUUUCCUUUAUUUGUGACUUAGAUCUUUGUAUUGUAUAUUUGUAUUUUUGACUCAUUAGAGUCGUUGUUGUAAUAUAUAUAUGU